AAAUUUUUGCUACAUUGCUCAAAAAUGCGGAAAAUUUUACAUUUUCUCAAACAGGGUAACGAACUUGGUUCCUCGAAUAACUUCUGGCACAGACAUCUAAGGGUAUGGCUGUCCAAGAAGAAAAUGUAGCCAUUGGUGCCAUCUAUCGACCACAGGUUAAAGAUUGGCGAUCCGUUGGAUACCGACCGAGUUAUAGGCAAAACUUGGUGCAAAAAUGAAGAAAAUUUUACAUUUUCUCAAACAGGGUAAGGAACUUGGUUCCUCGAAUAACUUCUGGCACAGACAUCUGAGGGCAUGGCCGUCCAAGAAGAAAAUGUAGCCAUUGGUGCCAUCUAUCGACCACAGGUUAAAGAUUGGCGAUCCGUUGGAUACCGACCGAGUUAUAGGCAAAAUUUGGUGCAAAAAUGAAGAAUAUUUUACAUUUUCUCAAACAGGGUAUGGAACUUGGUUCCUCGAAUAACUUCUGGCACAGACAUCUGAGGGCGUGGCCGUCCAAGAAGAAAAUGUAGCCAUUGGUGCCAUCUAUCGACCACAGGUUAAAGAUUGGCGAUCCGUUGGAUACCGACCGAGUUAUAGGCAAAACUUGGUGCAAAAAUGAAGAAAAUUUUACAUUUUCUCAAACAGGGUAAGGAACUUGGUUCCUCGAAUAACUUCUGGCACAGACAUCUGAGGGCAUGGCCGUCCAAGAAGAAAAUGUAGCCAUUGGUGCCAUCUAUCGACCACAGGUUAAAGAUUGGCGAUUCGUUGGAUACCGACCGAGUUAUAGACAAAAAUUGGUGCAAAAAUGAGGAAAACUUUACAUUUUCUCAAACAGGGUAUGGAACUUGGUUCCUCGAAUAACUUCUGGCACAGACAUCUGAGGGCAUGGCUGUCCAAGAAUAAAAUGUAGCCAUUGGUGCCAUCUAUCGACCACAGGUUAAAGAUUGGCGAUUCGUUGGAUACCGACCGAGUUAUAGGCAAAAUUUGGUGCAAAAAUGAGGAAAAUUUUCAUUUUUUUUGAAUUUUUUGAUUUUUUUAUUAUUUUUCACUCUUUUUUUUAUUUCAAGCAUUAUUAGAGUGAAAAGAAACUCAUUGCAACCCAUUGGCAUUAAAAUAAAACAAUUUAAUUUUUUUUGCAAAAUUUCCCAAAAAAAUCGUAAGGGGUAAGCCUUAUGAAAUUUUCGAGUGGAAAAUUUUUUUGAAAUUUUUUUCUGACUUUUUAUUCUUUUUUUAAUUUAAAGCACUAUUUAAGUGAAAAGAAACUUAUUGCAACAAAUUCCCAUCAAAAUAUAUCACAUUUAAAAUUUUUGCUACAUUGCUCAAAAAUGAGGAAAAUUUUACAUUUUCUCAAACAGGGUAAGGAACUUGGUUCCUGGAAUAACUUCUGGCACAGACAUUUAAGGGCAUGGCUGUCCAAGAAGAAAAUGU